rnacentral:rRNA from 1 species
UACGGAGGGGGCUAGCGUUGUUCGGAAUUACUGGGCGUAAAGCGCACGUAGGCGGCUUUGUAAGUUAGAGGUGAAAGCCCGGGGCUCAACUCCGGAAUUGCCUUUAAGACUGCAUCGCUAGAAUUGUGGAGAGGUAAGUGGAAUUCCGAGUGUAGAGGUGAAAUUCGUAGAUAUUCGCAAGAACACCGGUGGCGAAGGCGGCCAACUGGACCAUUACUGACGCUGAGGCGCGAAAGCGUGGGGAGCAAACAGG